rnacentral:tRNA from 1 species
GCCAGGGUGGCGUAAUGGCAGCCGCGACAGACUCAAAAUCUGUUGUACGAGAGUGCGUGCGGGUUCGAGUCCCGCUCCUGGCACCA